AAGUCGUAACAAGGUUUCCGUAGGUGAACCUGCGGAAGGAUCAUUAACGUAUUCGAACGGGGAGGUCGGGUUCGGCCCUGCACCGGCGGAGACGCCGUGCUGCGGGCCCCCGGCCGCCUCUUCCAAACCAAACCCCUGUGCACCUUUGGGAAGGCGGCGACCCUCGCGGGCUGCCGUCGGCCCCUUUUCUCACAAGCUCUAUGCCUCCAUUCAGAAUGACCGCGGACAUCGUCCGUCUAAAACAAAUAACAACUUUCAACAACGGAUCUCUUGGCUCUC
rnacentral:misc_RNA from 1 species